rnacentral:rRNA from 1 species
GGAGGUCCUGCCUGCCCGGUGACACUAUGUUAAACGGCCGCGGUAUUUUGACCGUGCAAAGGUAGCGCAAUCACUUGUCUUUUAAAUGAAGACCCGUAUGAAUGGCAACACGAGGGCUUAACUGUCUCCUCUUUCCAGUCAAUGAAAUUGAUCUCCCCGUGCAGAAGCGGGGAUUAACACAUAAGACGAGAAGACCCUAUGGAGCUUCAGAUGAUUGGGCAGACUACGCCAACCCCUUAGAAUAUUAAAAAGAUGAGCUAAAUAUCUCCUGCCCAAAUGUCUUCGGUUGGGGCGACCAUGGGGAAAUACAAAACCCCCACGCGGAAUGUAAGUAAAAUUCCCCCUUCUAUUUACUUCCUAAAAUUAGAAAGACUUUUCGAAAUAGCAGAACUUCUGACCUCCUAUGAUCCGGCUGAGGCCGAUCAACGAACCAAGUUACCCUAGGGAUAACAGCGCAAUCCUCUUUUAGAGUCCAUAUCGACAAGAGGGUUUACGACCUCGAUGUUGGAUCAGGACAUCCUAAUGGUGCAGCAGCUAUUAAGGGUUCGUUUGUUCAACGAUUAAAGUCCUACGUGAUC